GUGGUGCCGCAGGGAAGCCGUUAAGCUCGCCGCCUGGGGAGUACGGUCGCAAGGCUGAAACUUAAAGGAAUUGGCGGGGGAGCACCACAAGGGGUGGAUGCUGCGGUUCAAUUGGAUACAACGCCGGGAAACUUACCAGGUGCGACGGCAGGAUGAAGGCCAGACUGAAGGUCUUGCCGAACGAGCCGAGAGGUAGUGCAUGGCCGUCGUCAGCUCGUACCGUGAGGCGUACGGUUAAGUCCGUUAACGAGCGAGACCCGUACUCCCAUUUGCGAACUCUGAGGAGACUUGGGGAGCACUAUGGGAGGACUGCAGGCGAUGAGUCUGAGGAAGGCGCGGGCAACGGUAGGUCCGUAUGCUCCGAAUCACCUGGGCUACACGCGGCAUACAAUGGCGCAUACAAUGGGUUGCAACGCCGUAAGGUGGAGCUAAUCCCCUAAAAUGCGUCCCAGUACAGAUUGAGGGUUGAAACUCACCCUCAUGAAGGUGAAAUCCCUAGUAAUCGCUGUUCACAAUACAGCGGUGAAUAUGUCCCUGUUCCUUGCACACACCGCCCGUCAAACCAAUCGAGUGGAUUUGAGGUGAGGCGUUCUCUUUCGGGAAUGUCGAAUCU
rnacentral:rRNA from 1 species